rnacentral:lncRNA from 1 species
GAAGUAGAUGCAUUUCUACUAAACACAAUAUUCAGAAGUCUCCUGAUUACACUAAAUUGUGAAAAAAGGGGAAAACAGGAGCAAGUACAAGGAGGAAUCAAACCUGAAAGAGCUAGCAAAGCUUUUCAGCUGCUAGGGUCCUUCCAGCCAUGGAAAGUAGGCAUCCCAAAUACAAAGGGACAGGAAUAAAUUAGAAAUUGAAAUAGGAACCGAUGCUGAUCUUUGGUUGCGAUACUGAAUUGCUAUGUUAACCUAGAAGAACUGAAUCAUCUAAGCUUUACUCUAGGUGAUAUGAGUCAUGCAUAAUAUUCCAACAGCAAUAUCAUAUUAGAGAGUUUACUAUUUUAGAAAAUUCACCAGGAAAACCAAAAUUAGUAAAAGAAUGUCCAGAGAAAUUAAUAGCAAGCUAGUCCACCUAUACAUGCAGUUUAUCUUAUUCUACUUACCUGUCGUAGUUCUAGUGUUCUACUAAAGUAUAAGUCUGUACAUAUUAAUCUUAAAUAUAAUAAAAGCACUGGAUAGUGAUGAUGCAUACUCACAGAUUAAAGGUAUUGUGUAAUCAAUGGUUCAUUUUAUAGACUGCAAUACCACCAUUAGAAUAUAUCUCAUGCAAACUGUCAUGUCUCUCUGAUAAUCCUACAAAGUGGAAGAAACAGCAAUGAUAAACAUUAUGAUAUUACAUAAAGAUAUGUGAAAUAAAAUACUAAACAUAAAAUUCAUGUCCCAGCUAGCAUGGUUAGCUUAGGAAAGCACAACACCUAAGGAUUUCUCUCUCUUGUCUUGUUCAUUCAUUAAGUAGGAGCCUUUGUCAUCUGCAUUUGUGGUUACACAUUCUGGUAAAUGGCAAGGAAGAAUGAGGCAUUUGGUUGGCAAUGAAAACAAUUAUAUAUGGACUAAAUCAACUCACAGAGGUAAUGCAUCGAGCACUUGGUGUACUUGUGCUCUGAAGAGACAGUGGUGAGCAGCAGGGUACAGUGUUUAGGCUCAACUCAGGACACAAUUGUCAAUGGCCUUGGCCGUGAGGAGGAGCCUACCAAGGGGAUAUGUGCCAUGCUCAAGGCGCAAGCCUUACAGCAAUUGUCCCGCGCGUCCCCUCGCAGCGCGGUGCACUGCUCCUUGCUCUUGUGCGGGGAGCAGCUGAGCACGCUGCAGGGACAGCUGCUGGGGAGGCAAGGGGAUGGAGCAGGGGGGAAAGGCGAGGGGCGACCACCGGCGCCACCUCAUGGCCGAUUCGUGCGACCCCCGGACCAGCGCAGCAGACGCCUCGGGAGAAUCGUGUCUCAUUCAAUCGGCAGCAGCGGCAUACAGGCAGGGAAGGUGAUGGCACGCGUGGCGCGCCUACCGAAUUAGAGGGCGCGUGAGGUUGGGAACAACACGACGGCCGUGGCAAGUGGGAGGGAGUUCGGUGGGCAGCGCGGCAGGUAGACGGCGGCAGGCGGUGCUGGAGGUGGAGGGAGGUGAGAGCAAUGCGGCAAGCGAAAGGCAGCGGCCGGCGGGGCAGGGGAUAGGCAGAGGAGACGCAGGGAUGGAGGCACGCUAGGUGGGCGAUGAGGCGAAGGCCAUGGCACGGCAGCCGGCUGGCAGAGUGGAUGAGGACUUCAGUUAGGCGGGUUUGCGAAUCCUCCCGAGUGCCCAGGUUUGCCGCUUAGCAGGUGAGAAACCCGCGCUGACGCCGAUCCGAUGGCUGAUAACGUGAGCUUGCUGGAUCGAACGGUUAGUGAGCUAACGGGUGACGUGGCCCUAUCGGGCAGCCAUGGAAUGACCCGGAUUUCGUAUGUUAGAGAUUGUUA